GGGGGGGGGGGGGGGGGGGGGGGGGGCGGGGGGGGCGGGGGGGGGGGCGGGGGGGGGGUGGUGUGGCGGGGGGCGGGUGGCGGAGGGGGGGGGAGUGGGACGGACGGUACUUUGGCGUGGGUGUGAACUGAGGGAAUGGUACGCUACUCCGUCGUACGUCGUCCGGGGGAAAGAAGGGGACUAUCGUGCUUUGCGCACUUGAAUGAGCCUAUGUCGGAUUAUGCAGUUGUCGGGGUAAAGGCCCAGCCAGGCGACACUCCGUAGCUGGGCUGAGAGGAUGAUCAGCCAAACUGGAACUGAGACACGGUCCAGACUCCUAAGGGAGGCAGCAGUGGGGAAUAUUGGACAAAGGGCGCAAGCCUGAUCCAGCCAUACCGCGUGGGUGAAGAAGGCCUUCGGGUUGUCAAGCACUUUUGUUGGGAAAGAAAAGCAGCAGGUUAAUACCCCGCUGUUCUGACGGUACCCAAAGAAUAAGCACCGGCUAACUUCGUG
rnacentral:rRNA from 1 species